rnacentral:lncRNA from 1 species
CUGAGAAGAGGGAGUUUGUCAUAAUCGUUUAUCUAGACACUUGAUAGGUUGUGUGAAAAUAUUACUGAUGUUUACUGAUGUUUCACGUUAAAAAUGGACCAAAAGAUUAAUGCUAAACAACGUUUGUCAUGUUUGAACGAACGUAAAUAGAUUAUUUACUAGUUUUUUUUAGCUUUUCGGCGUGAUUUUACACCCCCCCACCACGUUUUGUGGGAGCCUACUGAACGCUAACUAUUUGGUGUUAUUUGGACAUAAAUUAUGAACUUUGUCAAAAUAAACCACAUUUGUUCUGGACCUGGGAUUCCUGGCAGUGCCUUCUGAUGGAGAUAAUCAAAGCACCAGGGACAUGUGAAAGACAAGCCUGACCUCUCCCCUCUCUGGGCCCCAGGUGACUGAGCCCCAGCUGAGAGAAGAAGUGCAACUGCCAACACCAGAGUCCGAAGGGAUACAUUCUCAUAACAAGACAAUGACCCAACAUACCUCCAGGCUGUGUAAGGGCUAUUUGACCAAGAAGGAGAGUGAUGGAGUGCUGCAUCAGAUGACCUGGCCUUGGACCGCAGAGUGAAGGAAAAGCAGCCAAGAAGUGCU